ACGUAUUUCGCUGAGAACUUACCAAAGUUGAACUCCCUCACUUUCCGCUUCCCUGCAUUGGCGGGUUCCGGGACUGGUGGCUGUGGUAGCUCAUUGGUCUUUGGUCUCUUAGAAGGUGGAGAAUAAUCAUCAUCUUGAAAAAGAAAAUGGUCAUCACUGGAAGAACCGUCUUAGAGUUACAGUCACCUCCUGGUCAAUUCCCAACAUUGAAAAGCUAAAGAAAUGGGCUCAGAGAAUGUUAUUUGAUUGGACCGUGUUGUAUCUCUGGAGAGCACAGCUGAGACCAGACUGUGUGUGUAACUCCACUAGCCUAUGAGGGUGCAUCUCAUAAAGGGUUGCAAGAUCAUAGUUCUCGGGGUGUUUAAAGGCAACGCCUUCCGGAAGUCCCUGCACUACCACAGCCGACUGGUCUCGCAGCAUCUUCUCAUAUGGUACAGGUACCACUGUGGAUUUGCCUAAAGCUUUCCCUGGGGGAGGUGAAAAGCAGAUGAACAUCAUUCAAUGCACAGGCCUACCCAACUAUGGAAUGAUGGAACACAAGACCUCACCAUGGACUCGAGAGCUGACAUGAGGAAUGUCACCACCAUCCUGCUCUCCGAGGACUCCUCAUCUUCAACGGGCAGGGUGGACAUUGCAACUUGGGCCAUGAUCCCUGUGCAAGAGAAGUAAGAAGAAAGUGAGUGGUAGAAAACCGGUGUCCUAAACCCAUAGCCAAAGCUGUGAGGGCCCCUCAUGGGUGGCCUAAUUUGCAGUUUUCUUGCACUAGAGAAAAAAAUAAGGUUCAGAAACUAAGUGUUUGACUUGUCCCACACCCUCAUAAGAUAAAGAUCCAUCCCCUAA